CAAUAGCGUAUAUUAAAGUUGUUGCGGUUAAAAGCUCGUAGUUGGAUUUCUGUUGAGAGCAGCGCGUCUACCUUUUGGGUAAGUAUGUUGCUUGGUCUCGGCAUCUUCGUGGAAAACGUUUCUGCGCUUGAUUGCGUGGGGCGGGGUUCACGACUUUUACUUUGAGGAAAUUAGAGUGUUCACGGCAGGCAUACGCCUUGAAUAUAUUAGCAUGGAAUAAUAACAUAGGGCUUACGGCCUAUUUUGUUGGUUUCUAGGCUGCAGGCAAUGAUUAAUAGGGACAAUUGGGGGCAUUCGUAUUAACGCGUCAGAGGUGAAAUUCUUGGAUUGCGUUACGACGAACUACUGCGAAAGCAUUUGCCAAGGAUGUUUUCAUUGAUCAAGAACGAAAGUAAGGGGAUCGAAGAUGAUCAGAUACCAU
rnacentral:rRNA from 1 species